GUUUGUUCUUUCUCUGUCUCUCUCUUUGCUCCACUAUCUACCUUUUCAGAUCCCUACCAUUGGACAUCUCCUGUCAAUCUUCAUUAUCCUGUGUGACAUCACCCAUCGAUCCACCAAUCAACCAGAAACAGAAUCACGAUUAGAAUCAGAAACAGAAACAGAAGGAGAAAGAAGAAGUGUGCUAAAUUUGUUAGAGAGCUAUGUUGUUGUUCAUUCGGUUUUAGUAUGUCAGACUGUUCAUGUAUCCCAACAUGUUAGUCACUUUGUGUAUGUGACUCGUUUUUCAUUUUGUGUAUGUGACUUGUUAGUCACUUUGUGUAUGUGACUCGUUAGUCACUUUGUGUAUGUGACUCGUUAAUCACUCGUUCUGCAUCUGUAUGCUUGUGUUUAUUCUCUUUGUGGAUGUGAAUUUGUUUAUAUUGGGGAAAACUGGACAGAUAUCGUGAAUGUUAUCACCUUUGUCAGCACCACUUGUAUGAUAAUAGAGACAGAUUUUGCCCCCUAUUUGUUGUCCUUGUCGUUGAUUGCCACAUACACAGCAGAAAUCUGACUUUAUAAUCAUUCCAUAUUGUUACCUUCCCAACCAUACCCCUAAACACCAUUUGGGAUCGUAACAACAAUAAUCAACAAACUCUAAAGCCUAUGAAAUUAUUCAGAAGUCCAUCAUAAAUCUGGUCAGGGAGGGAGGCUGUCAAGAUGCCCAAUAUAAGAUUCUUCAUAUGUCUGAACUACAGGUUAGAGUGAUAAGAUGGAAAUCAGUUUUGUUAAAAAAAAAUGUCCAAGGCUGGCUAAAGUUAUCAACAAAAUAUAUCCAAUCUCCCAAAACUAUGUGGAAUAAUGUUUUAUGGUCUGAUGAGACUAAAGUUAAACCUUUUGGCCAUAAAAGCAAAGGAAAUGUUCGGCACAAAGAAACCACAUCAACAGAAGAUCUCCAUCCCCACAGUGAAGCAUGGAGGUGGCAGCAUCAUUGUUUGGGGCUGCUUUUGUUCAGCUGGAACUGGGGCUUUAAUCAGACUGGAGGUAAUAAUGAAUAGCUCCAAAUACCAGUCAGAUUUGGUGCAAAACCUUAGGACUUCUGCUAAAACACCUAAGAUGAAGAGGAAUUUCACCUUUCAGCAGGACAAUGACCUGAAGCACACCCACAAAUCAACAAAGGAAUGACUCCACCAAAACAAGUCCAGAUCCAAAUCCAAUCAAAAAUCUGUGGGGUGACCUGAAGAGGGCUGUGCACAGGAGAUCUAAAAUCUAAAGGUGCUUCAAAUAAGUAUAAAUUUAGGGGUGUGUCAGCUUAUACAACAAGGUUAUUGAACAUUUUUAUUUUUUUUUAAUCCUAAAAUAACUUUAAUAAACAAGUUGCAAUUUCACUAUAAAAAUGGAAAAGUUUCUGAUAUGAUUUUUCUUGUUUUCAUUUAUUACACAAAAACCCUGCAAUUUCAACGAGGUGUGUAAACUUUUUAUAUCUAUUACUUAUUUUUUUUCUUUCUAUUUGAUUCCUGGAUUAAAAUGUAAUAUAUGUGAUAAGUUUAUAAAAUAUCAGCUUUUACUAUUAGUGUGAAGUCGAGUUAUUUACUUACCGCUGUGACAAGUAUCAUGUAAAACAACAGAGAGAAAUGUAAUGUUAGAUAAAAUACAAUGAG